GGUAAAAUGGCUGAAUAAUAGGCAAUAAACUGUAAAUUUAUUUAUGAAAUUAAAUUUCUUUUAUCA
rnacentral:tRNA from 1 species